AAGCGGCAUAAGGAGGUCCUAACACUUGGCUUUUGGGCAGAUUAUCUCCUUGAUUGUGAAGAGAAGGCAACAGCAGUGUGUCUGGAAGAUUUGAUGAUGUUUGCCACAGGGCUGACGGCAGUUCCACCGGCAGGAAUGACACCACCACCACGCAUCCAGUUUUUAAGUGUUUCGCCUUUUCCAGUUUCAAACACCUGUGCAAAUACUCUGAAGCUACCCAUCUGUGACUCAUACAGCAUCUUUAAGGCCAACAUGGACUUUGGAAUUCAAAAUGCUCCAGGAUUUGGAUGUUCUUAAAUCAGCAAGGUCAUCAAGUUACAGUUACUGAGUUACCCUGAUAGUUUCAGCUGCCGUUGGCAUACUACUUAACACAUUUAUGUGACAAGCAACUUCCAUAUUGUUAAACAUUUAGUUGUUUUUCUGAAUAUUGUGUAUGUUGGAAAAGUGACAGAAAUGCUGGACACUAUUUGUAAAUGGUUUUAUUAAAGAACAUUUUAAAUGUUU